rnacentral:rRNA from 1 species
AGUGAACGCUGGCGGUAGGCCUAACACAUGCAAGUCGAACGGCAGCACAGUAAGAGCUUGCUCUUACGGGUGGCGAGUGGCGGACGGGUGAGGAAUACAUCGGAAUCUACUUUUUCGUGGGGGAUAACGUAGGGAAACUUACGCUAAUACCGCAUACGACCUACGGGUGAAAGCAGGGGAUCUUCGGACCUUGCGCGAUUGAAUGAGCCGAUGUCGGAUUAGCUAGUUGGCGGGGUAAAGGCCCACCAAGGCGACGAUCCGUAGCUGGUCUGAGAGGAUGAUCAGCCACACUGGAACUGAGACACGGUCCAGACUCCUACGGGAGGCAGCAGUGGGGAAUAUUGGACAAUGGGCGCAAGCCUGAUCCAGCCAUACCGCGUGGGUGAAGAUGGCCUUCGGGUUGUAAAGCCCUUUUGUUGGGAAAGAAAAGCAGCAGGUUAAUACCCCGCUGUUCUGACGGUACCCAAAGAAUAAGCACCGGCUAACUUCGU